UUCACUCAGCUAAAUCCAUUGCAACAAGUAUACCUGUGUUAGUGUAUCUGUGACCAUUGAUCCAGGGCACUAGGACCGUGCUUUGUUGACAAUAAACCUGCCAGAGCAGCUUCGCUACUGAAUGGGGUCUGUGGUCUUAUUAAGCAUUUCAACUGGAGCCUGCUAUCUAUCUGGCCAGAGCCAGUGCAGCAUGCAGAGAGAACACACACAUGCAGCCAACAACUGAUGACACUGGUGACCCUGACCGCUGAUCGGGUAAGUAGGCGAGCUGUCCUCUGUAGGAAUCCUGAUCUAACAUGGCAGAAAAGCUACAAGCUAGGGAACCCCCUUAUCUUCCUCCCUGCACAUUCCCACAGAGUUUGAUAAGAUAUGGAUGUCACGCUGGGGUGCCAGCAAGGGAGGUGCAUUUGAAUUUAAAAAAGAUAGUGGGGAAGAAACAUGGAAUGGAAUCUGUGAGACUAGGGCAGAGACUGUAGCCUUGGAAAAUAAGAGUAAGAAAUGCCCCACAUGCCACAAAAUUGGUGGGGCAACUAACGGGAAAAAAAGAGUAAAAAGAAGAAAGAGAAGCAACAGAGCUCUGGAAUGCCCCUGCUCCCCUAGCAGGGCAGCAAGCAGUUCAGAGACAGUAUACAUUACAGCAAGCACAGGAACAGAAUAAAACAUUGGAAACAGCUGUAAAGAAUCUGCACAAAAGAGAAGUGCCAUCCCUGUUAUAAAUAUUGGUGGUCAACAACUGGCUUCAGGUACCUGUAUAGUGCCUGAAGAAUGGGACAGAAAUGGAAAAAGUCUCUCCAAGCAAAAUAAAAAAAUGUAACAUGGAACAAUUGGAAUGGGUGCUGCAAUUGGGACAUUGGGAAUGACUCAUACCAGCCACCUAACAACCCAUGGGCAGGGGCCACUGCAUUGCAACCACCACCAUACGAUAAAAGCAAGUUUUGGUAAAACUUAAACCACAACCUAGACUGGUGCCUGUCAGAAUAUGAAAAGUAAGUGCACAGGAGGGAGAAGUAGUAAACAAUGCUUUCUCUGGAUUGGUAAAUAAGAUAAAGGAAAAAAUGGAGCCGUUCACAGAGCACAUUACAAGACAAGAGCUGUGACUUGAUCAGAGGGGGUGGAUAGAAAACCAAUUUUAAAGUGAAAACCCAAGAGUCAGUGGAUUAACACCUAGAAUUGAUGCAUUAACACAUGGAGUUGCCCAGAAACAGUUAACUGUAGCAGGCAAGGGCACUCCUGCAAUCCAUUCGGCACUCAGACAAAAGCAACAGACACUGGGGGAACAAAUUCACAUUUUGCAAGAGCAGGUAACAAUCCCCACUCUCCUCUCAGAGUCAGGAUAAAAACCAGAGGUAUGGGUUGCCAACUGCCUUAAUCCAGGGAGCCUCACUCAGAGCUAAUAAUAUAACCUUCUUUCUCAUAUAAUUUUACAGAAAGGUUAAAUUUUACUUUAUAUCCUCUCUCAGUUUGCGAAACUCACUGCUGCUGUCUGUACUUUAAGAUAUGUUGAUAAAGUUAAUUAAUCUCUUUUGGCUCAAGUUUUCCUCCCUUCCUAGAUUGCUCUUCUCCCCACCUCUCCUCACUUCUGCUUUCUGUUUUAAAAGUUAAAAGUUAUGGUUAUUACAGAAACUAUCAUUGCUAAAAAAACAAAAAAGAAGAAGCAACUGAAAACAGAACAAAACAACAAACAAAGAAAGAAAACAAGGGGCUUUUUUAUUGAAAGGAAAAAACUGAAGUAGAAACCUCAACAGUAAUGCAAAGGUAAUAUUAGCAAAAUGUCAAAUUUUUGUUUGAGUUUUUAUAAACUUGUUUGUAACUUUAUUAAGUAUUAAAAUAUAGUUAUAAGAAUGUUAUAGCAAAAUGGUAAAAAAAUAAUAUAUACUAUGUCUGGUUAUGUUGCAAAAUUUUAUAACUAACCAAAAAAUUUCAACAAGUUUCCACUUUUGUCUCCCAAAUACAACUGUGUUAUAAAAUGUUUUGUUAAAGGGAAGUAGUGGCUGUUAUAGUUUGCGCUUCUAAACAGUUAACAAAAGCAGAAUUGGUAUCACAAGCAAAUUAACUCUAAAAAGCUUGGGUAAAAACUCUGUAACUAACUCUUGCUAAAACAGAGUGCUCAGCAGGGGAAAGCAAUAUACCCUCUCACAGAAGAUUGUGAGCAUCUAUUUUAGCAGUUAUGUAUUAUAUUUAGUAUAAAAUAUUAGUAAUGCACCUCAAGUGAAAAUGAAAGUCUAUACAAUAAUUGUAAACGUAUAGCUGGUGUUACAAAAGACUUGGUUCCUAUUACACUGUAAACAAACUAAGUUAAUCUGUGUAUUAAAUUUGGGUUACUGAAAACAAGAGAAAUGUACAACAAGCAAGCAAAAAUGUAUUAUGUUAACCAACUUAAGCUGUUUAAGGUUGCAGCCCACAGACUGAAAACACCAGAAGAUAUCCGUUCACAGUGAAGAAACCCCCAGACAUCAAGAAAAAAUAAUGAAGUGCUUUAUAAACAACAGACUGGUCAACUACACCUGAGUCUACCAUAUAUGGACAGUUAAGUAGGCAAUCAGCUAAAAACUAUGAGCUGGUCCAGGUCUAACUGUCAUUUAAAUUGUAUAUUAUUAAGUAAAGUGAGUUUAUGUGCCAGUGGCUUUAAA